GGCGCACGGGUGCGUAACACGUGGAUGACCUACCCCUUGGUUCGGGACAACAGCGGGAAACUGCUGCUAAUACCGGAUGUGUCGUAGCAAUACGAGAAAGGCCCGCAAGGGUCGCCAGAGGACGGGUCCGCGUCCCAUCAGCUAGUUGGUGAGGUAAUGGCUCACCAAGGCGAAGACGGGUAGCUGGUCUGAGAGGAUUGAUCAGCCACACUGGAACUGAGACACGGUCCAGACUCCUUACGGGAGGCAGCAGUGGGGAAUAUUGCGCAAUGGGCGAAAGCCUGACGCAGCCACGCCGCGUGAGCGAUGAAGGUCUUCGGAUCGUAAAGCUCUGUGGGGGGAGAAGAAGAAAGUCGGUGAAGAGCCGGCCCUGACGGUAUCCCCUUAGCAAGCACCGGCUAACUCCGUGCCAGCAGCCGCGGUAAUACGGAGGGUGCAAACGUUGCUCGGAAUCAUUGGGCGUAAAGCGCGCGUAGGCGGCUGAACAAGUUGGAUGUGAAAG
rnacentral:rRNA from 1 species